GGCAUUGAAACAUCGGAUCUCUUAAGAUCACCGAAGUUAAGCAACGUCGAACCCGGUCUCUACCUUGAUGGGUGAUUGCUCGAGAAUACCAGAUGCUGUGA